rnacentral:rRNA from 1 species
CAUGCAGUCGAACGGUGAAGCCAAGCUUGCUUGGUGGAUCAGUGGCGAACGGGUGAGUAACACGUGAGCAACCUGCCCUGGACUCUGGGAUAAGCGCUGGAAACGGCGUCUAAUACUGGAUAUGAGCUCUCAUCGCAUGGUGGGGGUUGGAAAGAUUUUUCGGUCUGGGAUGGGCUCGCGGCCUAUCAGCUUGUUGGUGAGGUAAUGGCUCACCAAGGCGUCGACGGGUAGCCGGCCUGAGAGGGUGACCGGCCACACUGGGACUGAGACACGGCCCAGACUCCUACGGGAGGCAGCAGUGGGGAAUAUUGCACAAUGGGCGGAAGCCUGAUGCAGCAACGCCGCGUGAGGGAUGACGGCCUUCGGGUUGUAAACCUCUUUUAGCAGGGAAGAAGCGAGAGUGACGGUACCUGCAGAAAAAGCGCCGGCUAACUACGUGCCAGCAGCCGCGGUAAUACGUAGGGCGCAAGCGUUAUCCGGAAUUAUUGGGCGUAAAGAGCUCGUAGGCGGUUUGUCGCGUCUGCUGUGAAAUCCCGAGGCUCAACCUCGGGCCUGCAGUGGGUACGGGCAGACUAGAGUGCGGUAGGGGAGAUUGGAAUUCCUGGUGUAGCGGUGGAAUGCGCAGAUAUCAGGAGGAACACCGAUGGCGAAGGCAGAUCUCUGGGCCGUAACUGACGCUGAGGAGCGAAAGGGUGGGGAGCAAACAGGCUUAGAUACCCUGGUAGUCCACCCCGUAAACGUUGGGAACUAGUUGUGGGGACCAUUCCACGGUUUCCGUGACGCAGCUAACGCAUUAAGUUCCCCGCCUGGGGAGUACGGCCGCAAGGCUAAAACUCAAAGGAAUUGACGGGGACCCGCACAAGCGGCGGAGCAUGCGGAUUAAUUCGAUGCAACGCGAAGAACCUUACCAAGGCUUGACAUACACCAGAACACCGUAGAAAUACGGGACUCUUUGGACACUGGUGAACAGGUGGUGCAUGGUUGUCGUCAGCUCGUGUCGUGAGAUGUUGGGUUAAGUCCCGCAACGAGCGCAACCCUCGUUCUAUGUUGCCAGCACGUAAUGGUGGGAACUCAUGGGAUACUGCCGGGGUCAACUCGGAGGAAGGUGGGGAUGACGUCAAAUCAUCAUGCCCCUUAUGUCUUGGGCUUCACGCAUGCUACAAUGGCCGGUACAAAGGGCUGCAAUACCGUGAGGUGGAGCGAAUCCCAAAAAGCCGGUCCCAGUUCGGAUUGAGGUCUGCAACUCGACCUCAUGAAGUCGGAGUCGCUAGUAAUCGCAGAUCAGCAACGCUGCGGUGAAUACGUUCCCGGGUCUUGUACACACCGCCCGUCAAGUCAUGAAAGUCGGUAACACCUGAAGCCGGUGGCCCAACCCUUGUGGAGGGAGCCGUCG